UACUCGAAGCUUGAGGACAGGAAAUGUACUUUUUCGCAACAAAUCAAAUUAACUUUUAAGUCAACAACGUAAACCAAACAGCCGAGUGAUGUUACCAAGUAACGAAAAAACUAUCAUGCUUGCCAGUCUGGUACUUCGUUACUCGAUAAAGUAAGUUUGACAGCUGGUUACGCAUUGUGAAUGAUCCACAUUAGAAGAGCAAGAGAGAAUAAACAAAAGGCGUGUUUUAUUUGACCAUCAUAAGCUAAUAGCUAAACCAUGGACAAAUAAAACGCAUUUAGCUUAUUUCACAUUUUCGCUUAAAAAUGCAUUAUGUUGGCAACGCGAGAAAUAACAAUCAAUAUUCAAUUUAUUGCAACGAAAUGUUUGACAUGGAGAAAAGCAAAAGAAAAGUUUGGACAAAGGCGGAGACGCUCCUAUUCCUAAAAUGCUACAACGAAAGGAAGGACGAGUUCCUGCAUGCGCGAAAGAAAAAGUUCGCAUAUGAAAACGUCAUGGAGGACAUGAUAUAUCAAGGAUUUACAGAUACAACAAUUAAUGCGGCUGCCCUUGUUUCAAAAAUGCGAACGCUUUUGAAUGCCUACAAAGCAGCAAAAGACAACGAAACACAGACUGGCACUUCUCCGUGCACAGUACCAUAUAUGCGCGAGAUGGACGAAAUUUUUGGCGAAAGUUGCUUGGUGUCCAACAACCACACCUUAAACAUUGGGAUAGAUCCUCAAGAGGCAUUGGUUGAGUCUAGUGGUAAGGAUUCAACCGAUUUUCAAACAAUCCUUGACGAUAUGCCAAGUACUUCGAGGCAGAGCCGGUCUGCACUAAGCCGUAGCAUAUGCAGACCAAAUGCUGUGAAUUUACAGGAGCCGAACGCAGCAAAUUCUGUUCCAAAUCGGCGUUACAGGAAAAGCGCUAAAGUACUAUAUUUUGAAAAAAAAAUUGAACAAAAAAGAAAAAGUGCUGAAGUGCAGGCGAAGUUUUACGCAAAUAUCGAAAAACGAAUGCAGGAUGUGGCCGAAAAUCAAAAAAUUCUAAUAGAAAUUGAACAAAAAAAAAUUAAAAUAGAAGAAGAAAAAUUAAAAAUUUUAAAACAGUAUUUUAUG